UGUGCUCUGGUACGCCGUGCACGAACCCUACGGCGGUCCGGACGGACUGAUCCGGCUCAUCGACGCGUGCCACGCGCGCGGGCUCGG
rnacentral:tRNA from 1 species